rnacentral:rRNA from 1 species
AUUGAACGCUGGCGGCAUGCCUUACACAUGCAAGUCGAACGGUAACAGGUCUUCGGAUGCUGACGAGUGGCGAACGGGUGAGUAAUACAUCGGAACGUGCCCGAUCGUGGGGGAUAACGCAGCGAAAGCUGUGCUAAUACCGCAUACGAUCUACGGAUGAAAGCGGGGGAUCGCAAGACCUCGCGCGGACGGAGUGGCCGAUGGCAGAUUAGGUAGUUGGUGGGGUAAAGGCUCACCAAGCCUGCGAUCUGUAGCUGGUCUGAGAGGACGACCAGCCACACUGGACUGAGACACGGCCCAGACUCCUACGGGAGGCAGCAGUGGGGAAUUUUGGACAAUGGGCGCAAGCCUGAUCCAGCCAUGCCGCGUGCAGGAUGAAGGCCUUCGGGUUGUAAACUGCUUUUGUACGGAACGAAAAGGUUCUUUCUAAUAAAGAGAGCUCAUGACGGUACCGUAAGAAUAAGCACCGGCUAACUACGUGCCAGCCGCCGCAGUAAGAC